GAGUGCAGCUUCAGAGUUCAUUUCUUUUUCUUCAAAAACAUGAAAACAUAAUCCUUUGCUUUGCUGCUCUUCUUCUUCUUCUUCUUCUCCUUCUUCUCUCUCUCUCUAUCUCCUUCUCUCUCUCGCUCUCUCUCUCCCCUAUACAUCUUCUUCUUCCGUUGGACCGCUAAAAACUUAUCACCAGGAACUUGGGUCGCAGCAAAAGAGAAGUGAUAGAUUGAGAUCUAAAAAGGCUGGAAGAGGAUCCCGCCGUGGUAGUUAGGACCUUUUUGCAUCACUCGCCGGAAGUUUUUCCGCUGACAAAAUGCAUGCUCGUUGCAUUUGAAGCUGCAUCUUUUAUUUGUGGAUUGGUGGCUAGGCUGGUCCUGCAGCUAUUGUCAUUGGGAAUGGCCUCGCAUUAUCAUCCACUGUUGUUGUUCUGCAGAUGACUGAUGAAGCAUGGUGAGGUGCCAACUGCGUUUGUAUUGAGAGCAAAUGGUCACACUGACACAACUGAGGAUGAAAUUAAGCAAUUCGUUUCCAAAGAGGUGAUGAAGACAAAUUGAUUUGGAACUAUUUAGAAGAUGGAAGUUACUUAAAUAAGAAGCACUUGAAGAUAGAGAUCAUCUUUUCAUCCAUCUGGUAUCCAAGUGAUUCAGAUAUUUGGUGGUGGACAUGAGAUAUGUGCUGCUGCCAAUAUUCAACCAGUUUUUUGAGGCUACUUGGUGAUUAAGACAAAUUGAUUUGGAACUAUUUAGAAGAUGGAAGCUACUUAAAUAAGAAGCACUUGAAGAUAGAGAUCAUCUUUUCAUCCAUCCGCUGCAUCUAUUAUAUUUGGAUUGGUGGCUAGGCUGGUC